AGUUGAUCAUGGCUCAGAAUAACGCUGGCGGCGUGCCUCAGACAUGCAAGUCGAACGCGAAAGCCUCCUUCGGGGGGCAAGUAGAGUGGCGCACGGGUGAGUAACACGUAGGUAAUCUACCUUUGGAUUGGGAAUAACCACCGGAAACGGUGGCUAAUACCGAAUAAUGCAGCGGCACCUAAUGGUGACAGUUGUUAAAGCGGGGGAUUGAAAGACCUCGCGUCUGAAGAGGAGCCUGCGGCGGAUUAGCUAGUUGGUGAGGUAACGGCUUACCAAGGCUAUGAUCCGUAGCCGGCCUGAGAGGGCGGUCGGCCACACUGACACUGACAUACGGGUCAGACUCCUACGGGAGGCAGCAGUCGGGAAUUUUGGGCAAUGGGCGAAAGCCUGACCCAGCAACGCCGCGUGAAGGAUGAAAUCCUUCGGGAUGUAAACUUCGCAAGAACGGGAAGAAUAAGUAAGGGUUAAUAUCCCUUACGAUGACGGUACUGUUUGUAAGCUCCGGCUAACUCCGUGCCAGCAGCCGCGGUAAUACGGGGGGAGCAAGCGUUGUUCGGAUUUACUGGGCGUAAAGGGCGCGUAGGCGGCCACCGCAAGUCGACUGUGAAAUCUCCGGGCUUAACCCGGAAAGGUCAGCCGAUACUGCGAGGCUAGAGUGCAGAAGGGGCAACUGGAAUUCUCGGUGUAGCGGUGAAAUGCGUAGAUAUCGAGAGGAACACUGCGGCG
rnacentral:rRNA from 1 species